rnacentral:rRNA from 1 species
GGAUAACCUGCCCUUAGGUCUGGCAUAACCCCGGGAAACUGGGGAUAAUUCCGGAUAGAUCAUAGAUGCUGGAAUGCGCUUUGAUCCAAAGCUAUUGUGCCUAAGGAUGGGUCUGCGGUCUAUCAGGUUGUAGUGGGUGUAAAGUACCUACUAGCCUACGACGGAUACGGGUUGUGAGAGCAAGAGCCCGGAGAUGGAUUCUGAGACAUGAAUCCAGGCCCUACGGGGCGCAGCAGGCGCGAAAACUUUACAAUGCGGGAAACCGUGAUAAGGGGACACCGAGUGCCAGCAUCAUAUGCUGGCUGUCCAGGUGUGUAAAAUACACCUGUUAGCAAGGGCCGGGCAAGACCGGUGCCAGCCGCCGCGGUAACACCGGCGGCCCGAGUGGUGAUCGUGAUUAUUGGGUCUAAAGGGUCCGUAGCCGGUUUGGUCAGUCCUCCGGGAAAUCUGAUAGCUUAACCGUUAGGCUUCCGGGGGAUACUGCCAGACUUGGGACCGGGAGAGGUAAGAGGUACUACGGGGGUAGGAGUGAAAUCUUGUAAUCCCUGUGGGACCACCAGUGGCGAAGGCGUCUUACCAGAACGGGUCCGACGGUGAGGGACGAAAGCUGGGGGCACGAACCGGAUUAGAUACCCGGGUAGUCCCAGCCGUAAACUAUGCUCGCUAGGUGUCAGGGACGGUGCGACCGUUUCUGGUGCCGCAGGGAAGCCGUGAAGCGAGCCACCUGGGAAGUACGGUCGCAAGGCUGAAACUUAA